AUGGGAACGCGAAGAACCUUACCUACUCUUGACAUCCAGAGAACUUUCCAGAGAUGGAUUGGUGCCUUCGGGAACUCUGAGACAGGUGCUGCAUGGCUGUCGUCAGCUCGUGUUGUGAAUGUUGGGUUAAGUCCCGCAACGAGCGCAACCCGUUAUCCUUUGUUGCCAGCGGUUAGGCCGGGAACUCAAAGGAGACUGCCAGUGAUAAACUGGAGGAAGGUGGGGAUGACGUCAAGUCAUCAUGGCCCUUACGAGUAGGGCUACACACGUGCUACAAUGGCGCAUACAAAGAGAAGCGACCUCGCGAGAGCAAGCGGACCUCAUAAAGUGCGUCGUAGUCCGGAUUGGAGUCUGCAACUCGACUCCAUGAAGUCGGAAUCGCUAGUAAUCGUAGAUCAGAAUGCUACGGUGAAUACGUUCCCGGGUCUUGUACACACCGAGUCGUGGGAGGGCAA
rnacentral:rRNA from 1 species